GUUCCCAGGCCAGGGACUGAACCUGUGCCACAGCAGUACCCAGAGCCAUAGCAGUGACACCGCCAGAUCCUUAUCCUGCCAAGCCACCAGGGAUCUCCUGCUUUGUUUUUAUUAAUAGAAAAAAAUAAGGGGUCCAGUCAUACCUCUACAGUAUUUCAAAUGCUCUGCAGUAUCCUUCAAAUAAAUUGACUAAGAACUAUCAACUGGAACCAUGCAAUUUUGAGCAGCUGGCCAUAAAAUUAAAUAUCCAUUCUAGUUUGCUGAUACUGACACAAUUUAUUUUUAAUAUACAUUCCAAAAUUUCUAUCAAGCAUUAACUGAUGAAAUUUCUCACUCAAUUAUCUAUUUUUGAUAUACUAAGAGCUUAUCUUGUUCAAUAUUGUAUGUACAUUGAUAUUGUACAUUAUUGAUUUUUAAAAUGUGUAACAAAGAGGCCUAUUUUCAUUUUUCAAUGAUUCCAUAUUCUUAGGCAUAUGUGUAAAACAAAACUAACAUGAGACCUUAAAUUUUCAUCUGCUAUUCAUAUUUAUAAGUAAAAAUAUGUAGACAAUGCCUGUUAAAGAAUCUUUUAUCUUUUAUCAGAUAAAACUGUAUAGGUGGAACCUGAUUAAUACAGGGUUGUGUUAAGUGCUUUACCUGCAUUUUACCAUUGAGUCCUUACAGCAACCAGAUAAGAUAAACACCCAGAUUAUUUCCAUAAUUCAGAUGGGGAAACCAAAUCUCAUAGAUGUGGAAUAACUUCGUGGGUUAUAUAGCUAGUAAUUGGCUUUGAGGCUUGGCCAUCUGACCCCAGAACGUGUACACGUAAUGACUACACUGUAUUAGGCGCUUAGGCAUAAAAAGACACACACUGGGUGUCUGGAGUAUAGAAGAAUCGAUAUGAUUGUGCUGAUGAUACCAAAACAGCAUAAGCUACAAUAAAGACCCUCUGCAAAAGCAGUAAGUUGUGUCUAUUUCUGGAGUGAUUCCAACUACACAUUUCUAUCCACUUUGACAACCAUAUUGAUUAUGAAGAAAAACAAUCAACUCAUCGACAUUAGAUUUAUUGUGAAAUAAUCCUUUGGGAUGUAGUGAGGAAAUACUGUUAUGGGCUGAAUCAUGUUCCCUCCCCAUAUUCAGAUGUUGAAUCCCUAACUGCCUCCAUCAGAGGGUGACUGUGUUUGAAGAUAAAGAGUUGUUGGUACUUUGUUAUGGCAGCUGGCAAAUACUAAAAGUACCAUAGCGCACUUCUCUUUAUUUUAAGUUAAAAAAAGACUAGACCAAAAAGUAGCCUUUUUGACAAGGGGAUAUUGCAGGGAAGUUCUCAGUGCCUCACUGCAUAAAGUCCUUAUUUUAAACAGAGAAAUGUCCAUUUAAGCUGGUCCUCUUUUUACUUAGAUGAAUGGUUCUCAGCCUUGGUUAAAUAAGGCAUCUCUGGAGAGAUUUAAAGAAACUAUCGAUGCUUGAGUCCCACAUCAGACAUUUUGAUUUAAUUGAUCUGGGUAUGGCCUAGGUAUCAAGAUUUUUUAAAUCUCCCAGAGUGCUUCUGAUAUCUCUAUAUUAGAACCAAAGCUUGAAAACCUUGGUGGAGAGAGUGAGCUGUUCACUAUGUAAUUAACUUAAUAAAGUAAUAUCAGAUACAUCCACAAGGUGGCGUAUUAUUGCAUUUGAAAGAAUUAAAACUGAGAAAUGUUUGUUUCCAAAAGGCAACUCUGUACCACUGCAAGUAAAACAGACUGGAUUUAGAUUGAAGUUGCACCAGGUAGAAGCAAUGAUAGAAUGAAUCAGAACUUUCUGUGAAGACCUGAGGUUUAGUGAACUCAUGGUAUGAAUCCUGCCUUCACAAGGGGUCCACACUGGUCACCAUGAGAAGGCUCUUGGCUGCCAGGUCUAGUAUUUUCCCUUGACAGAUGUAGGCAUCUCUGAAAUGCUCAAAUGUAAUUGUUGAUAAGAGCCAUACCAACCCCAUCUCAAAUUUGGGAAUUUAUACCAACAUCCCAGAAAAGACUUAGCCUAUCUGUAACUGCUUAUAAAAAAGUUAAAAGCUUCUAACCAUUAGCGAAGAUAUUGUAUACUUUAAUGGUGGCUUUAACAAUCUUCUCUUAUUCACUGUUGAAAAGCCAUGAGUAUGAAGGGCAGGUGGAAAGGGAGAGAGGCAUUUUUCACUGCCAAUAUCUACUCCAGGGAACCAUCCCUUAUCCACCCCACCCCUCCCCCAGCAUCCUGAUAUUUCUGCUACCAAGACUCUGACUAGUUAUAUAAAGGCUUUUGUUUCCAAGGAAACCACUGACAUCUAUGGAAUUUAAUGAACAUGUAAAAGGAACUAUGCCAUAUAAUUUACAUCUGGAGAUAAAUGUGAAUAGCUGUCAAAACCAUUACAUACACAUUGAUAAUUCCGUGAAUUUUUAACUCUAUUUUUUUCCCAUUUUUAAAGAUGUAAAUAAACACAUAUUUAUGAAAAGAAAAUGACCAAAAGAAACACACACACACACACACACACACACACACACAGAAAAAUCCCAAGCAGCUAUUGCACCAUGUCAGGUAAAUUAAGAAAUAGUUGGAACCAAGAUUAAGGGCCAAAAGUAAAUCUCCUCAGCAACUGAUGGAAAAGAGAGAAACCUUUAUUUUGUUGUACAAAGGGUUUUCUUAUUCUUUCCUAAACUUCAAAUACCUGCAUCAAAUUUUAUGACUGUGGCUUCACACAAUGGUGAAAUCUGUACAAAGUCAAGGAAAUAGCUCAUAAUCAGUACAGAGGGACAAUAAAUAAAGCACAACUCCAGGACGCAUAGAUGAUUCAUUGAAACUAUUGUUGUAUAACAUCCAAAUAACAGCUCAUUAUGCGAUUGAUAUAUUGGCAUCCAGAUUCUAUGAUGAGCUAUUUAAGAUUUGACAACCCCUAAAUAAAGAGCCUAUUUUGAAUAUUAGCAGGGAAAGUUGAUGAUAUAGGGAAAACAUUCAAAGUAUAUAUAAACUGGUGGGAUGUUGGUGGUAUAGUGGUAAGCAUAGCUAGAAAAGUUAAUAGGAACAGAAGGAAAUUUCACCAUUUUACCCAAAUGAUAAAUUCCUCCUUCCCGAAAUACUUUCUUAAAGCUCCAGGAUACACUCUCUGAUUCUCCUUCCUCCUCACUGGUUGUUAAUUCUCAGUCUAAUUUUCUUUUUAUUGCGGUAAAAUACACAUAUCAUAAAAUGUUAUCAUUUUAAUGAUUGUCAAGUGUUACAGUUUACUGACACUAAGUAAAUUACAUCUUUGUGCAAUAUCACCACCAUUCAUCUCCAGAACCUUUCAUCUUCUCAAACAGAAACCGUUCUCAUUAAACAGUCACUCCCCACUGCCUCCUCCCUCAGCCCCUGGUAACUGCCACUACACUUUCUGUCGCCACGUGUUUGCCUUCUCUAGUUACUUCAUAUAAAUGAAUCACAUCAUAUUUGUCACUUUGUGUCUGGCUUACUUCACUUAGCAUACUUUCUUCUAGGUUUAUCCAUGUUGGAGCCUGUAAUAAAAUUUCAUUCCUGUUCAAGGCAGCAUAAUAUUCUGUUGUAUGUAUCUAGCAUAUUUUGCAUGUCCACUUAUCUACUGAAGGGCAUUUGUAUUAUUUCCACCUUUUGGCUAUUGUGAGUAAUGCUGCUGUGAACCAUGGUGUGCAAGUAUCAUUGAGAUUCCUGCUUUCCCUUCUUUGGGGAAUAUGCCAGUCUCAGUCUCUUUGACUGGUUCUUCUUCAUCCCCUCAAAGUCUAAAUGCUUGAGGUCCCAGGGUUUUGAUUUCAGAACUUUCUUUGAUACCUCGACUUCCCUUAGCUUUGAGCUUUAAAUAAAGUUAAUUGUACUUCCACGGCCAACCUUUCCCCGACCUCCAGAUGUGUGUACUCAAAUAUGAUAUCAGGUAGAAAUAUAACAGGCAUCUCAAACUUUAAACAUCAAAAAAAAAAACAAAAAAAACCAAAAAAAAACAAAAAAAAACAAAAAAAAAACCUGAGGUUUUUUUCAGUUUCAAUAUGCUUCUUUCUUCCUAUCUAAGGACCUGGCAAUUAAAUUCUCCCACUUUCCCAGGUAAAAACAUUACAUAAGAGUUGUUCUUGAAUCCUUUCUUUUCCCCAUAUAUCACAUCCGAUACAUUGACAAACCCAGUGGAUUCACCUUUAAAACAUAUGCAGAUUUGUGACUUUUUCUACACACUUUGGUCAAAAUUAUCAUCAACACAACACAGCCCAGGAAAUUUGCAACAGCCAUAUAGUUGGUCAGCUUGCUUCUUCCUUUGUCUUCUGUGGUCUUCUCUCAAUGCUGUGGCUAGUGAUGCUUUGAAAAGCUAGGUCAGGAGUUCUCAUCAUGGCUCAGCGGAAAAGAAUCUGAAUAGAAUCCAUGAGGACCCAGGUUUGAUCCCUGGCCUUGCUCAGUAGGUUAAAGGAUCUGGUGUUGCCAUGAGCUGUGGUGCAGGUGGCAAACGUGGCUCGGAUCUGAUGUUGCUGUGGCUGUGGUGUAGGCCAGCGAAUAUGGCUCUGAUUUGACUCCUAGCCUGGGAAUAUCCAUGUGCCUUGGGGUGGCCCUAAAGAGGCCAAAAAAAAAAAAAAAAAAGCUAGGUCAGAUCUCUGUCACUCUUCUGCUCAGAACAUUUAGAUUCUUUCUGAACUUUCUCAGAGGUAAAGCCAAAAUCAUUAGCAUGGCCCAUGAAGCUCAAAAUAAUGUGGCCCCAGCCACUUCCCUGAUUUCCUCCUUUCUUUGCCAUACUGGCCUCCUCACUGUUCCUCAAAUAUGCCAAGUUUGUUCCUACCUCAGGCCCUUUGCUCUUGCUGUGCCCUUGGUCAGGAAUGCUUCUUCUUCCCUUAAUUCAUGUCUCUGCUCAUAUGACCUCCCCUUAUCAAGAGCGCUUACUCCACUAGGGCUCAAUAAAACAGCAAGCCUCUCUCCCACUCAUGGUCUGUGAUCUCUUGUCCUGCUUUCUUUGUCUUAAUGGGAUCUAUCUGCUAUCUACUUCCCCCACCCAGAAGGUGCUGGAGGGAGCCUGCUCACAGGGGUUAGAGGCUACUGUAUACAUUGCUUUCCAACUCUCAGUGACAUCAGGAUGUGGUCUGAAACCCAUCAGGUUCAGAAUAUUCACCAAAGGAAAUCAGAAAGCACAACUCAGGGAUUACCUUUUCCUUCCUGCCCUUCCUUCAUUCUUUCUGAAAACCAGUUUACCACCUCCGCCUAUUCCAUGCUCCUAAAAAGAAUGUUAUAUGAGGACAGAAUGCUUUGGCUUUUUUGUUCACUGCUGUUUUCCUAGUGCC
rnacentral:lncRNA from 1 species